CAAGGAUAUUCACUACUCUGACUCUCCAAGGCCCACUUAAGAACUUGCACUGAGGAUGAAACAUUAACAAGCGCUGCCUACUUUGGGUUAGGGGGCAUACAGAGAUUUACUCAUGCAGGAUGGAUCUGUGGAUCUGAAUCUGAAUCCGGAUCUGUAAUACUGAGUCCACAGGAAGUUACGCUGAUCCACUGUGUCAGCUCAUCCAGACUCCCGAAGCUAUUGCUUAUGUGUUUGUGAUGCAGUUGUCAUCUCACCCCGAACAUUUGUCGGAGGUCAGGGUCACGGAAACGAAAAGGGAUGUUGGAGACAUGUAACCUCUUGG